GCACUGCUGAGGAGUCGCGAAAUAAGAUGAAACGGCUGUCCAGUGC
rfam:Schistosoma rodhaini strain Burundi genome assembly, scaffold: SROB_scaffold0001259